AAGGAAUUCAGUUUUGAUUACAAGACGAAUAUACGAUCCAAUACACCAAAACCAAUAUAACAUCCUCAUAUAAUAUAUAAUCCAUAACAUAUUCUAACUUCUAUUCUUUGUCCAGAACACGCUUGCGGAAAUCUGUCACCAUGAGAGGCAGACCUUCCUUGAGUGAAAUCUUUGGUUCCCAGUUCAGAAGCUCCUUUGCCUUGGUGAUGUCAGGUUUUCUCAUAUGUGGGUCGUCAGCGGUGUUCGGUUUAAACUCAAUGGUUGCAGUUGAGUCGAUGGUUUCCUUGACAACCUCAGCCAGUUCCAUCAUGGUGAACUCCCCUGGAUUCCCCAAGUUGAAAGGUCCUAUGUGCUCACCUUCCAUUAGUGCUACCAGCCCAUCAACCAAAUCAGAGACGUAUUGGAAGCUUCGAGUUUGCUUCCCAUCACCAUAGACA
rnacentral:misc_RNA from 1 species